CUCCUGGCCAAGGACUCUCUGGGACAUGCUCGACUUUACUGAAAGUUUGGUGAAACUAAAAGCAGUUUACAGAACAUAACACAAUUUUCAAUAUUGGAGAUUUCUGGACUUAAAGGUGGCUUAUGAUUGGAUGAUGAGAUAAAUCUAAAUAUGACAUAGUGGCAGAUAACCAUAGAACAGUCAACUGUAAAACAGUCUUCACCCCCAGAGUCACUUUGCUCUUUAUGUAUACCAGUAAUGCAACAACAACAACAACAAAAUGUUUGGAACAAAAGUUUCUCCAUGAUCUACAUGGAGAAUGGAAGAAGCUGUCUAAUGUCAUUAUAGAGAAUUCUAAGAGUGAGAAAAUUGAGGGAAUAAAACAUAAAGUGAAUUAUCUGGUGUUAACACAAGGCUAUUUAUACUAAAGUAGUAGUUAAAGAACUGGAAAGCUU